rnacentral:rRNA from 1 species
AUUGAACGCUGGCGGCAGGCCUAACACAUGCAAGUCGAACGGUAACAGGAAGAAGCUUGCUUCUUUGCUGACGAGUGGCGGACGGGUGAGUAAUGUCUGGGAAACUGCCUGAUGGAGGGGGAUAACUACUGGAAACGGUAGCUAAUACCGCAUAACGUCGCAAGACCAAAGAGGGGGACCUUCGGGCCUCUUGCCAUCGGAUGUGCCCAGAUGGGAUUAGCUUGUUGGUGGGGUAACGGCUCACCAAGGCGACGAUCCCUAGCUGGUCUGAGAGGAUGACCAGCCACACUGGAACUGAGACACGGUCCAGACUCCUACGGGAGGCAGCAGUGGGGAAUAUUGCACAAUGGGCGCAAGCCUGAUGCAGCCAUGCCGCGUGUAUGAAGAAGGCCUUCGGGUUGUAAAGUACUUUCAGCGGGGAGGAAGGGGGUAAAGUUAAUACCUUUGCUCAUUGACGUUACCCGCAGAAGAAGCACCGGCUAACUCCGUG